UCCCUGGUGGCUCAAAUGGUAAAGAAUCCACUUGUAAUGUGGGAGGCAUGGGUUCAAUCCCUGGCUUGGGAA
rfam:Ovis aries breed Texel chromosome 10, whole genome shotgun sequence.